rnacentral:rRNA from 1 species
GGGGAAUAUUGCACAAUGGACGAAAGUCUGACGGAGCAACGCCGCGUGAGUGAAGAAGGCCUUCGGGUCGUAAAACUCUGUUGCCGGGGAAGAACAAGUGCCGUUCGAACAGGGCGGCGCCUUGACGGUACCCGGCCAGAAAGCCACGGCUAACUACGUGCCAGCAGCCGCGGUAAUACGUAGGUGGCAAGCGUUGUCCGGAAUUAUUGGGCGUAAAGCGCGCGCAGGCGGUUUCUUAAGUCUGAUGUGAAAUCUUGCGGCUCAACCGCAAGCGGUCAUUGGAAACUGGGAGGCUUGAGUGCAGAAGAGGAGAGUGGAAUUCCACGUGUAGCGGUGAAAUGCGUAGAGAUGUGGAGGAACACCAGUGGCGAAGGCGGCUCUCUGGUCUGUAACUGACGCUGAGGCGCGAAAGCGUGGGGAGCAAAC